rnacentral:rRNA from 1 species
AACGAACGCUGGCGGCAUGCCUAACACAUGCAAGUCGAACGAGACCUUCGGGUCUAGUGGCGCACGGGUGCGUAACGCGUGGGAAUCUGCCCUUGGGUUCGGAAUAACAGUUAGAAAUGACUGCUAAUACCGGAUGAUGACUUCGGUCCAAAGAUUUAUCGCCCAGGGAUGAGCCCGCGUCGGAUUAGCUAGUUGGUAGGGUACAGGCCUACCAAGGCGACGAUCCGUAGCUGGGCUGAGAGGAUGAUCAGCCACACUGGGACUGAGACACGGACCAGACUCCUACGAGAGGCAGAAGUGGGGAAUAUUGGACAAGGGGCGAAAGCCUGAUCCAGCAAUGCUGCGUGAGUGAUGAAGGCCUUAGGGUUGCAAAGCUCUUUCAGUGGGGCAGAUAAUGACUGUACCCACAGAAGAAGCCCCGGCUAACUCCGUGCCAGCCGCCGCCGUAAGAC